rnacentral:lncRNA from 1 species
GUUAUAUUGUCAUCAGAGAGGAAGAACAAAAACACAGCUGCAGAGGAGGCUAACAUCUUAGCAACAGAGUUCUUCAUGCAGUCAGAUUCGUGUCUGGCUCACACUGGUCUCAAGACCUGGAUGAUGACCUGCAGUCCGGCCCGUGAAGUCUCUCCUGCUCUACGUUGUCGGGGGGCACAAACACGAUCCUCUGAACACCCUCUGACCUCUCCUCCACUCUCCUUAGUCUGGAUCAUACUGGGUUUCCAUCAGGGUGGCGCUGUGUUGAUUGAUCCUGCACUGCAGUCUCUUCUCUUCUCCUGCAUUCACCACCUGCCAAAUUGGGGGGGCCGUCCAAUCGGUUGUGGUAAGGUGAAUUUUGCUGUCUUAAGACAAUUUUUGUCAUGCGUCCUUUUUCCAGUUUACUGUCGGCGUUGCAGGACAGUGUAGCGAAUUUGGUUG